UUUCCCAUUUAUUUGCUACUCUAGUCUCUCAGUGACAGGAGCAGUUAUAUGUAUGGGAUAAAACAAUAUUGGGUCAUUGUAAAUUAAGAUAAAUGUUUUGUCUCUUCUGUAUGGUUUAGACAUUG
ensembl:snoRNA